ensembl:lncRNA
AGCGUCCACUAGGUUAACUGUGUUUUAAUGAAAAGCAUGCAUGGGGUUUGAAGCAAAUUCACAUUUUACUAAACUAACUACAUUAUAUUUAGCCAGAAUAUGACAUAUUGUGGGCUUUCACAUGAUUGUCUACGAAAUGGGUCAAACUUCAAACGGUGUCAUGGAUGAUCUUGAGUCAGAACUGAGGGUGCUAGGAGAACUGGGCGAAAAUGACUCUUCAGAUGAUGAAUCAAUCAACAGAAAACGAAUCAAGCAGCCAAACCUCCCCCGGAGUCAACUAUAUUUAAAGGCAAUUUAUAAAAUACACUUUGUUGACGAAUAUGUGAUACGCUAAUUUAUUAUCUUGACAAUGUGCUGCUACCGGUGGCUGUUUGCUUGCUCUGGACCUAUCGCGCCACGAGAACGCACGACUAUAUACCUGAUUAUCGUGUUCAUCAUUGUGUAAGAUCUCUUAGACCUAGUAACCAGUCUGUCUCCUGUAUGAUCAGAGACACACCGUGAGACUGGUUUUCACAAGACCACAAUGAACUGCCUUCUGCACAUCAAGGAGACCCUGCUACACUAUAGAUGGCAGGAAGCUGCUGAGUACAUGUCCAGUUACUCACGAACACUGGAGGACAUGCCACAACUCUACGCUGAGGACAAGCACAGAUACACCACCGUCCCAUCUUGAAGCUGGAAGACCACAACAGUUUCUAUGCGCUACUAGAGAUCUAUGCGGGAGUGAAACACUCAGGAGUGAAACAUUACCUGAAGUAAAUCUGUCUGGAGCACUCGUUUCACCUCCUGGUGAACGGGCAGUUUGAGGACGUCCAUCGCUGAGAGCUGGAGGUACGGCAAGCAGUCAGCCGAUCAGUCCCAGCGGAUUAAGCUGAUCCAGUCCUACAGUGGCUUCCUGGAUUACUUCAUCUGGUGUGGGGGGAGAAAAAAAGUCCACCGUCUCCAGCACUGAUGAGUAUGAUGGUGUCACUCAAGAGAUGCACAGCUACUUCCGCC